GUCAGGAUGGCCGAGUGGUCUAAGGCGCCAGACUCAAGAACCGAGGUUCUUCGCCGACAUGAGGUGUUGAGUAUUCUGGUCUCCGAAUGGUGGCGUGGGUUCUAAUCCCACUUCUGACA
rfam:Ciona savignyi cont_35598, whole genome shotgun sequence.